UCCCUGGUUGAUCCUGCCAGUAAUCAUAUGCUUGUCUCAAAGACUAAGCCAUGCAAGUCUCAGUAUAAGCCGAAUUAAGGUGAAACCGCGAAUGGCUCAAUAUAUCAGUUUUGGUUCCUUAGAUCGUACACAGUUACUUGGAUAACUGUGGCAAUUCUAGAGCUAAUACAUGCAAACGUAGUCCCGACCGGUGACGGAAGGGAUGCUUUUAUUAGAUCAAAAACCAAUCGGCGGCUCGUCCGUCGCAACCAAAGAUGACUCUAGAUAACUUUGAGCAGAUCGCACGGUCCUAGCACCGGCGACGUAUCUUUCAAAUGUCUGCCUUAUCAACUGUCGAUGGUAGUUUACGCGACUACCAUGGUUGUCACGGGUAACGGGGAAUCAGGGUUCGAUUCCGGAGAGGGAGCCUGAGAAACGGCUACCACAUCCACGGAAGGCAGCAGGCGCGCAAAUUACCCACUCCCGGCACGGGGAGGUAGUGACGAAAAAUAACGAUACGGGACUCUUAAGAGGCCUCGUGAUCGGAAUGAGAACACUUUAAAUCCUUUAGCGAGGAUCCAUUGGAGGGCAAGUCUGGUGCCAGCAGCCGCGGUAAUUCCAGCUCCAAUAGCAUAUACUAAAGUUGUUGCGGUUAAAAAGCUCGUAGUUGAAAUUGUGUUUUGCGGCGAUGGUCCACCGAUUGCGGUGCGAUCGUCGCGUCUGCGAGACUUCUCGUCGGUGCUUGUNGUGUCKRYGAGACUUCUCGUCGGUGCUUGUGUGUCGAUGCGAAUCGACACGCAAUCUCGACUGUUUACUUUGAACAAAUUAGAGUGCUCAAAGCGGGCUUACAUUUGCCUGAAUAUUGUGCGCAUGGAAUAAUAGAAUAGGACCUCGGUUCAAUUUUGUUGGCUUUCUGACACCAGAGGUAAUGAUUAAUAGGAACAACUGGGGGCAUUCGUAUUGCGACGUUAGAGGUGAAAUUCUUGGAUCGUCGCAAGACGGACUAAAGCGAAAGCAUUUGCCAAAGGUGUUUUCAUUAAUCAAGAACGAAAGUUAGAGGUUCGAAGGCGAUUAGAUACCGCUGUAGUUCUAACCAUAAAUGAUGCCAGCCAGCGAUCCGCCGAGGGUAUUUAUAUUGAUUCGGUGGGCAGCUCCCGGGAAACCAAAGCUUUCGGGCUCCGGGGGGAGUAUGGUUGCAAAGCUGAAACUUAAAGGAAUUGACGGAAGGGCACCACCAGGAGUGGAGCCUGCGGCUUAAUUCGACUCAACACGGGAAAACUCACCAGGCCCGGACACUGGAAGGAUUGACGGAUUAACAGCUCUUUCUCGAUUCGGUGGGUGGUGGUGCAUGGCCGCUCUUAGUUGGUGGAGCGAUUUGUCAGGUUAAUUCCGGUAACGAACGUAACUCUAGCCUAUUAAAUAGACGUAUUUCCGGUAUCACGAGGCGCCGGGUUCGCUCGGCCUUCAACUACCGGCGUACAUUGAACUCUUCUUAGAGGGACCGGCGGUAUAUAUAGCCGCACGAGAUUGAGCAAUAGCAGGUCUGUGAUGCCCUUAGAUGUCCUGGGCCGCACGCGCGCUACACUGAAAGGAUCAACGUGUCCUCCUUGACCUAACGGUUCGGGUAACCCGUUGAAACCCUUUCGUGACAGGGAUUGGGGUUUGCAAUUCUCCCCCAUGAACGAGGAAUUCCUAGUAAAAGCGGGUCACCAGCUCGCGUUGAUUGCGUCCCUGCCCUUUGUACACACCGCCCGUCGCUACUACCGAUGGAUGAUUUGGUGAGGUCUCCGGACUGGCGCGCGGAAGCCACUCGUGGCCUCCGACGCGCCGGGAAGUUUGACCGAAUUUGAUCAUUUAGAGGAAGUAAAAGUCGUAACAAGGUUUCCGUAGGUGAACCUGCGGAAGGAUCAUUA
rnacentral:rRNA from 1 species